rnacentral:rRNA from 1 species
UAGGGAAUCUUCGGCAAUGGGGGGAACCCUGACCGAGCAACGCCGCGUGAGUGAAGAAGGUUUUCGGAUCGUAAGCUCUGUUGUUAAGGAAGAACGAGUGUGAGAAUGGAAAGUUCAUGCUGUGACGGUACUUAACCAGAAAGGGACGGCUAACUACGUGCCAGCAGCCGCGGUAAUACGUAGGUCCCGAGCGUUGUCCGGAUUUAUUGGGCGUAAAGCGAGCGCAGGCGGUUAGAAAAGUCUGAAGUGAAAGGCAGUGGCUCAACCAUUGUAGGCUUUGGAAACUGUUUAACUUGAGUGCAGAAGGGGAGAGUGGAAUUCCAUGUGUAGCGGUGAAAUGCGUAGAUAUAUGGAGGAACACCGGUGGCGAAAGCGGCUCUCUGGUCUGUAACUGACGCUGAGGCUCGAAAGCGUGGGGAGCGAACAGG